rnacentral:rRNA from 1 species
AUUGAACGCUGGCGGCAUGCUUUACACAUGCAAGUCGAACGGUAACAGGCCGCAAGGUGCUGACGAGUGGCGAACGGGUGAGUAAUGCAUCGGAACGUGCCCAGUCGUGGGGGAUAACGCAGCGAAAGCUGCGCUAAUACCGCAUACGAUCUAUGGAUGAAAGCGGGGGACCGUAAGGCCUCGCGCGAUUGGAGCGGCCGAUGUCAGAUUAGGUAGUUGGUGGGGUAAAGGCUCACCAAGCCAACGAUCUGUAGCUGGUCUGAGAGGACGACCAGCCACACUGGGACUGAGACACGGCCCAGACUCCUACGGGAGGCAGCAGUGGGGAAUUCUGGACAAUGGGCGCAAGCCUGAUCCAGCAAUGCCGCGUGCAGGAAGAAGGCCUUCGGGUUGUAAACUGCUUUUGUACGGAACGAAAAGGCUCUGGUUAAUACCUGGGGCUCAUGACGGUACCGUAAGAAUAAGCACCGGCUAACUACGUGCCAGCCGCCGCUGUAAGAC